rnacentral:rRNA from 1 species
CGUUGGUGACCAGCGGAGGGAUCAUUACAGAGUUGCAAAACUCCCUAAACCAUUGUGAACGUUACCUAUACCGUUGCUUCGGCGGGCGGCCCCGGGGUUUACCCCCCGGGCGCCCCUGGGCCCCACCGCGGGCGCCCGCCGGAGGUCACCAAACUCUUGAUAAUUUAUGGCCUCUCUGAGUCUUCUGUACUGAAUAAGUCAAAACUUUCAACAACGGAUCUCUUGGUUCUGGCAUCGAUGAAUAACGCAUCGAAAUGCGAUAAGUAAUGUGAAUUGCAGAAUUCACUGAAUCAUCUAAUCUUUGAACGCACAUUGCGCCCGCCAGCAUUCUGGCGGGCAUGCCUGUUCGAGCGUCAUUUCAACCAUCAAGCCCCCGGGCUUGUGUUGGGGACCUGCGGCUGCCGCAGGCCCUGAAAAGCAGUGGCGGGCUCGCUGUCGCACCGAGCGUAGUAGCAUACAUCUCGCUCUGGUCGCGCCGCGGGUUCCGGCCGUUAAACCACCUUUUAACCCAAGGUUGACCUCGGAUCAGGUAGGAAAACCCGCUGGACUUAAGCAUAUCAAUAAGCGGAGGA